rnacentral:rRNA from 1 species
CCUACGGGAGGCAGCAGUGAGGAAUAUUGGUCAAUGGUCGUAAGACUGAACCAGCCAAGUAGCGUGCAGGAUGACGGCCCUAUGGGUUGUAAACUGCUUUUAUACGGGGAUAAAAUGCGUCACGUGUGGUGUUUUGUAUGUACCGUAUGAAUAAGGACCGGCUAAUUCCGUGCCAGCAGCCGCGGUAAUACGGAGGGUCCGGGCGUUAUCCGGAUUUAUUGGGUUUAAAGGGAGCGUAGGCGGCCUGUUAAGCGUGCCGUGAAAUGUCGUGGCUCAACCAUGGCAUUGCAGUGCGAACUGGCUUGCUUGAGUGCGCGGGAGGUAUGCGGAAUUCGUGGUGUAGCGGUGAAAUGCUUAGAUAUCACGAAGAACUCCGAUUGCGAAGGCAGCUUACGGCAGCGCUACUGACGCUGAGGCUCGAAAGCGCGGGUAUCGAACAGGAUUAGAUACCCCUGUAGUC